ACGUAGGUCACAAGCGUUGUCCGGAAUUACUGGGUGUAAAGGGAGCGCAGGCGGGAGAACAAGUUGGAAGUGAAAUCCAUGGGCUCAACCCAUGAACUGCUUUCAAAACUGUUUUUCUUGAGUAGUGCAGAGGUAGGCGGAAUUCCCGGUGUAGCGGUGGAAUGCGUAGAUAUCGGGAGGAACACCAGUGGCGAAGGCGGCCUACUGGGCACCAACUGACGCUGAGGCUCGAAAGUGUGGGUAGCAAACAG
rnacentral:rRNA from 1 species